rnacentral:rRNA from 1 species
UACGGGGGGAGCAAGCGUUGUUCGGAUUUACUGGGCGUAAAGGGCGCGUAGGCGGUCAGCACAAGUCAGUUGUGAAAUCUCCGGGCUUAACUCGGAAAGGUCAACUGAUACUGUGCGACUAGAGUGCAGAAGGGGCAACUGGAAUUCUCGGUGUAGUGGUGAAAUGCGUAGAUAUCGAGAGGAACACCUGCGGCGAAGGCGGGUUGCUGGGCCGACACUGACGCUGAUGCGCGAAAGCCAGGGGAGCGAACGGG